rnacentral:rRNA from 1 species
UACGUAGGGGUGCGAGCGUUGUCCGGAAUUAUUGGGGCGUAAAAGAGCUUGUAGGCGGGUUUGUCGCGUCUGCUGUGAAAACCCGAGGCUCAACCUCGGGCCUGCAGUGGGUACGGGCAGACUAGAGUGGCGGUAGGGGAGAUUGGAAUCCUGGUGUAGCGGUGAAAUGCGCAGAUAUCAGGAGGAACACCAACGGCGAAAGCACUCUGCUGGGCCGACACUGACACUGAGAGACGAAAGCUAGGGGAGCGAAUGGG